UUCCCCCCAUCUCUUUCUCCCACCACCGCCGCCCCAGCAUCUUCUUCCUUCUCUCUGAUCCUCUCCUUUACGCUGCCCCCGCACCCCCACCGCUCUGGUUCUCCUUCCUCCACCAACCCCACCUCCACGGCUGCGGUCUUUUUCUACCCCAUUGUCUCCCGUCCUCAAUACCAUGGCCUCGGGCUGCUGCUAUAGAUCCGGCGCGCGCAGAUCUGGGACGAAGCUGAACCCCGACACAGGUCUUGUCAGACCGGAUCUACCGUCGGGUGGCCGGUUACCACAAUUGCUCAGUGGAGGCCGCACCUAGUCGCGACUAGGUGCGUUGUGUGUGCGUGAUGACAUGGCGGCAGCAGCGGCAAUCGGUGGCUCCGGCGUGUCUACUAGUGAGAUGGUACCAAGUAGAUAUAUCCGCACAUGUUCGUCAACCGGCUGCAGAUGCGACCUUGUAUCAAUAUCUAUUUCAGUCUUGGUGGCACUGUUGCAUGGCGCAAAAUAGAGCUUGAGAGGGCGGGCUGCCACGAUGGCCGUGAUGGAGCUGCUCCGUGAUCAACCAGGGGUUGGUUCUCUACUGCCACUCCUAUGAUUUCUUCAUUAUUUCCAUUCCCCAGCUCAACUACCACUGAACUACACCUAUUUAGUUGAUCUAGUUCAGAGUUAGGUAUUUUUCAUGCCAAUUGAAGUUUACGUGUCAAGCAAGUGUUGGUUGCUAUUUUCAGAUCCUUGACAAAUAUUUAGUUUCAUGAGUGAACUUGUUGACACAUGAACAUCUGAAGUUUACGCCGGCCGGGUCGACGAGCAGCGGCUAUGCCCCAUUGAUAUUGCUUAUUAGUGAUGCCCUUUUCCCGUGGAUUUAUAUGGCCUCAACUGCUGCUGAGUAAUAGGAGUUUUGAAAUCUAUCUUCUGUUACGUUGUCACUUAAAGGUAUGAUUGGGUAGUGGUCUACAAAGUGCUACCCAUCAUAAUCUGCGCCAGGACAUGAUAGUUGCCAUCAGGAGAAUCGACGAAGAACCUCAACAACAGCUUCAAAAGUUUAUAUGUUUUGUUGAUGUACACUGGAUUGUACUGCUUCUUAACCUUGUUGUGUGAUAUAUGUAGUGUUGUAAAUUAUCAUUACAUGGAAGGAUUUGUAAACUGCUAUGUUGUAUAUACACACAGGAUUUUUUUGAGAAAAAUAUAUACAUACAGAUGGCCGCAUAUUGCGUGAA